CAGGCACGUGGAACUGUUUCAGGCAAGAGGCAAGGCUUCAGUAACAGGGAGCGGCUUCAGGCACAGGGAACGUCUUCAGGCACGGGGCGCACCUUCAACCAUGGGGUUUGUCUUCAGGCACUGGGAGCACCUUCAGGCUUGCAUCUUCCCUCUACCUCUAUACUCCAAGUUCCUGGCUGGCACUGGAGUUACAUCCUUAGCACGGACAUCAUAACCUCCACGUGAGGAUUAAGAGAAGUUACCCGAGGCAAAUGAAUUAAGACCAUUUUAGAACUGACCUGGACUUAAACAGCCAGAGACUGGAGUCAUGAUAAAGAUAGUUUGAACAUGCCAUUUCAUCAAA